rnacentral:rRNA from 1 species
GAUGAACGCUGGCGGCGUGCCUAACACAUGCAAGUCGAGCGAAGAAUUGAGAGCUUGCUCUUAAUUACUUAGCGGCGGACGGGUGAGUAACGCGUGGGUAACCUGCCCUGUACAGGGGAAUAACAGUUAGAAAUGACUGCUAAUGCCCCAUAAGCCGACGGAAUGGCAUCUUUUUGUCGGAAAAGAUUUAUCGGUACAGGAGGGACCCGCGUCUGAUUAGCUGGUUGGUGAGGUAACGGCCCACCAAGGCGACGAUCAGUAGCCGACCUGAGAGGGUGAUCGGCCACAUUGGAACUGAGACACGGUCCAAACUCC